CCUACGGGAGGCUGCAGUGAGGAAUAUUGGUCAAUGGGCGUGAGCCUGAACCAGCCAAGUCGCGUGAGGGAUGAAUGUUCUAUGUAUCGUAAACCUCUUUUAUAAGGGAAUAAAGCCGGGGACGUGUCCCUUUUUGCGUGUACUUUAUGAAUAAGCAUCGGCUAACUCCGUGCCAGCAGCCGCGGUAAUACGGAGGAUCCGAGCGUUAUCCGGAUUUAUUGGGUUUAAAGGGUGCGUAGGCGGCUUUUUAAGUCAGCGGUGAAAGUUUGGGGCUCAACCCUAGAAUGGCCUUUGAAACUGGCAGGCGUGAGUAGAGUUGAGGCAGGCGGAAUGCGUGGUGUAGCGGUGAAAUGCUUAGAUAUCACGCAGAACCCCGAGUGCGAAGGCAGCUUACCAA
rnacentral:rRNA from 1 species